rnacentral:rRNA from 1 species
CUCGUAGGUGGCCAACUAAGUCAGACGUGAAAUCCCCAGGCUUAACCUGGGAACUGCGUCUGAUACUGGAUGGCUUGAAUUCGGGAGAGGGAUGCAGAAUUCCAGGUGUAGCGGUGAAAUGCGUAGAUAUCUGGAGGAAUACCGGUGGCGAAGGCGGCAUCCUGGACCGAGAUUGACACUGAGGAGCGAAAGCCAGGGGAGCAAACG